AACGAACGCUGGCGGCAGGCCUAACACAUGCAAGUCGAGCGAAGCCUUCGGGCUUAGCGGCGGACGGGUGAGUAACGCGUGGGAACGUGCCCUUUGGUACGGAAUAGCCCCGGGAAACUGGGAGUAAUACCGUAUGUGGUCGAGAGACGAAAGAUUUAUCGCCAAAGGAUCGGCCCGCGUUGGAUUAGGUAGUUGGUAGGGUAAUGGCCUACCAAGCCGACGAUCCAUAGCUGGUUUGAGAGGAUGAUCAGCCACACUGGGACUGAGACACGGCCCAGACUCCUACGGGAGGCAGCAGUGGGGAAUCUUAGACAAUGGGGGAAACCCUGAUCUAGCCAUGCCGCGUGAUCGAUGAAGGCCUUAGGGUUGUAAAGAUCUUUCAGUGGGGAAGAUAAUGACUGUACCCACAGAAGAAGCCCCGGCUAACUCCGUGCCAGCCGCCGCAGUAAUAC
rnacentral:rRNA from 1 species